CUUCUCAGAUCCAAAUCGGGAGAGCUGCUAGAAGAGAUUUUUUUUCUUGGGUUUUUAUCGACGAACGGGAGAUUAGUUAUUUCGAUUUUGUUUGUUUAACCGAGAUUUGAUGAAGACAAUCAACAAAGAAUCAAUCAAGGUUCAAUAUGUCCAACGGAUACAUACUCUAUGUGUAAGCAGUGCGGCAUAUACAUACCCAGAUUUGCAAGUAGUAUAGCAGAUAUGUACUCAGAUUUGUAAGCAGUUUAGCAGAUAUGUACUCAAAUUUGUAAGCAGU